rnacentral:rRNA from 1 species
AGCCCGCUCAAGAAACUCAAAUGAAGUUGACGGGGGCCCGCACAAGCGGCGGAGCAUGUGGAUUAAUUCGAUGCAACGCGAAGAACCUUACCUGGGUUUGACAUACACCGGAAAACCGUAGAGAUACGGUCCCCCUUGUGGUCGGUGUACAGGUGGUGCAUGGCUGUCGUCAGCUCGUGUCGUGAGAUGUUGGGUUAAGUCCCGCAACGAGCGCAACCCUUGUCUUAUGUUGCCAGCACGUGAUGGUGGGGACUCGUAAGAGACUGCCGGGGUCAACUCGGAGGAAGGUGGGGACGACGUCAAGUCAUCAUGCCCCUUAUGUCCAGGGCUUCACACAUGCUACAAUGGCCAGUACAGAGGGCUGCGAGACCGUGAGGUGGAGCGAAUCCCUUAAAGCUGGUCUCAGUUCGGAUCGGGGUCUGCAACUCGACCCCGUGAAGUCGGAGUCGCUAGUAAUCGCAGAUCAGCAACGCUGCGGUGAAUACGUUCCCGGGCCUU